GGGAAUAUUGGACAAUGGGGGGAACCCUGAUCCAGCGACGCCGCGUGAGUGAAGAAGUAUUUCGGUAUGUAAAGCUCUAUCAGCAGGGAAGAAAGAAAUGACGGUACCUGACUAAGAAGCCCCGGCUAACUACGUGCCAGCAGCCGCGGUAAUACGUAGGGGGCAAGCGUUAUCCGGAUUUACUGGGUGUAAAGGGAGCGUAGGUGGCAUGGUAAGCCAGAAGUGAAAACCCGGGGCUCAACCCCGCGGAUUGCUUUUGGAACUAUCAGGCUGGAGUGCUGGAGGGGUAAGCGGAAUUCCUAGUGUAGCGGUGAAAUGCGUAGAUAUUAGGAGGAACACCGGUGGCGAAGGCGGCUUACUGGACAGAAACUGACACUGAGGCUCGAAAGCGUGGGGAGCAAACAGG
rnacentral:rRNA from 1 species